AACGAACGCUGGCGGCAGGCUUAACACAUGCAAGUCGAACGCAUCCUUCGGGGUGAGUGGCAGACGGGUGAGUAACGCGUGGGAACGUGCCCUUCAGUUUGGGAUAACCCAGGGAAACUUGGGCUAAUACCGGAUACGUGCGAGAGCAGAAAGAUUUAUCGCUGAAGGAUCGGCCCGCGUCUGAUUAGCUAGUUGGUGGGGUAAUGGCCCACCAAGGCGACGAUCAGUAGCUGGUCUGAGAGGAUGAUCAGCCACAUUGGGACUGAGACACGGCCCAAACUCCUACGGGAGGCAGCAGUGGGGAAUAUUGGACAAUGGGCGCAAGCCUGAUCCAGCCAUGCCGCGUGAGUGAUGAAGGCCUUAGGGUUGUAAAGCUCCUUCGUCCGGGACGAUAAUGACGGUACCGGAAGAAGAAGCCCCGGCUAACUUCGUGCCAGCAGCCGCAGUAA
rnacentral:rRNA from 1 species